AUGCAAAUAUUUUCUUUAGCGUCGAAUUUACAGCAAAUUGCCCUAGACAGUGUAAAUUUUGUAAAUAAUAAGUUAAGAAAAAAGAAUUCAAUUGAUGAUUGUAAUUAUAUUACAUAUAUAGUUAUAGGUGAGAAUGAAAAAAAGCCUCAUGAUGAAAAUAUAUUUUUUCUGCCAUUUAAAAUAUCGACUAGAAUAAAACUAAGAGAGUUUAAAGAAUAUUUCCCUUUUGUUGGUAAUAUAAUAGUUCGUUUCAAAACAUCUCUAACUGAUUUGGUUGAUAUUAUUAACGAAGGUUUAAUGACUGGUCUCCCUUUAUUAAAUAUUAAUGAAAAUACUAAUGUUAUUAAACCAAUAGAAAAAUAUAUUAUUACGAAUGAAAAUGAUAUAAAAAAUAUAUUAAAGCAAGAUAAUUUAAGUUAUGUUUGGGUAGAUGUGAAUAAUGAUGAUUCAUAUGUACCACUUUAUGAGGGACAUAUUGUUGUAAAGGUACUAUUUAUAAAUAAUGAAAAUUAUAGUAGCUAUAAUGACAUUUAUUUUAAGGAUGCAAAUCAAUACGAAUAUGCAACUGAGUAUUAUAAAAUAAAUGAAAAAAACUUAUGUUCUUAUAUUUUAUUAAAUGAAGAAAACAAUAAAGAAGAAGAUACUAAUGUUAAUAGUAAUAAUAGUAGUUCUGAUGUGAUUGUAGAUCACCAUGCUAACACAGAUUUCGAUCAAAUUAAUUAUAAGGAUUUAUUUUUUAAAAAAAAAGGUUCAACCAAUAAUACAGGGAUUAAUAAGGAUUCCACGUCAGAUUAUAAUAUUAAAAAUUUUAAAAACAAAACAGACAGUAUUAGCAUGAGUAACAUUAAAGACAUUGGAUACGUAUCAAAUAAAACAAGAAAACAUAUUAUAAAUAAAUUUGGAAAGAUAGCUUAUAACAAACAUAAUAACUGUGUUGAUGUGUUCGAAAAAGAAAAACUUCUUAUAGUACAUAAUAAUAGUGGUAAUAUUAAUGAUACAAAAGAAGAAGAUAUUUUCUUUCAAAAUAAUUAUAAAAAUAAUGAUUAUGAUAAUAAUACAAAUAAUAUGUAUUUUCAAUAUGAAAAUAAUCAUUAUGAACAAAACAAAAAUAAAGGGAUAAAUAUAAAUAAAGUAAAUGAAAAUAUAAAACAUAAUUUAGAAAAAAAAGAUUCUAACAAUUUGAAAAAUGUAAGUUCACACUACAGUGAUAAGAAUAAUGAUAAUAUUAGAACUGGUAAUGGCAAUGAUAAGGAUAAUAAAAAUAACAUAACCAGUAGACAUAGCAACAAUAAAGACGACUAUGUAUCAGAUAACUACAGACAACAGUCAAAAAUCAGAACAGCCGCUAUAAAUAACAAUGAACAAAUACAAGAAGCUAUUAAAAAAAAAGCAAAUGAUCGGUUAAAUUUGUUAAAUGAACAUAGAAAUCAAGAGGAAAUAAAACAGAAGGAGAAAUUAGCAAUAUCAGAUAAAAUAAAAAAACAAAUUGAUAAAUGGUCUAAAAAUUCAGAUAACACAUAUAAGAAUAUAAAAGUAAUGCUAAGUACAUUGGAUGAUAUAUUGUGGCCAAAUUCAGAGUGGAAAACUGUACCCAUGUCAGAUUUAAUAUCAAACAAAGCUAUUGUUAAACGAACAUACAAAAAUGCCAUUCUAUUAUGUCACCCGGAUAAAAAUAGAGACACAUCAGUUGAGAUCAUGCUAAGAGCAGAACUGAUUUUCCAUGCACUAAACAAUGCAUACAAAGAAAGCAAAGGAAUUUAGCGUUAUAUAACUGAAAAAGAGCUUUUUAAAAUUUUGUCAUACAAAUAUUUGCUUAGUGUCACAAACUAGCCUUAUUCUGUUAUGUAUAUUUAAUAAUUUUAAUUUUUUUUUUUUUUUGUUAUCUUAUUACUUUUUUUUUUUUUUUUUUUUUUUUCCUUAUAUUAUUUAUUAUGGUUCACCGUAAAAAAUCUUCAACAAAAAUGUAAUAUAUAUAUAUAUAUAAGUUUGUGUACCGUUCAUUUGUGCAUCAUUAUUUUUUAUAAUUUAAUUAUGGGUUUUGUAAAUUGUAAUGUGUCACAUAUGAUAAUAUGAAAAGUCAUACUACAAAAUUUGUCCUAUAUUUAUGAUAGAUGAACUUUAAAUGAACCCUAGCUGAGCCCUAACUAAACCGUAACUAAACUCUAGCUGAGCCCUAACUAAACCGUAACUUAACCCUAGCUAAGACCUAACUAAACCCUAGCUAAACCAUAACUGAACCCUAGCUAAACCAUAACUGAACCCUAGCUAAACCAUAAAUGAACCCUAACUAAAUAAUAACUAAGCCCUAACUAAAUCCUAUUUAAACCAUAAAUUUACAAAACAGUAUAAUUUGUUUUUCUCUAUUAUUUCUCAUCAGUUUUAAUAGCUGUAAUUUACACUUAAUCGUGCUUGUGUAUGUGCUUGCAUAAACGUGAUCGAACGUAUCUAACUUUCGGGUCAACCCUUUACCCCCCAAUUUUCAGCUAUAUUUACAGACACUUCACAUUUUACCUUUUUCAAAAAAAAAGAGGCACACUUUUCCAUUGUUUCGACCAAAAUUUUCUGUGCUUCGUCUUGAUACUUUUUGUUAACUUCAAUAAUAAUUUCAUCGUGCACACAUAAAACAAUUUUGCCAUUUAUAUGUUUUAAAUUUGUAUAAAGUUCCACUAAAGACAGUUUUAGUAUAUCAGCACAUGUCCCCUGGACUGGAUAAUUCAAUGACUUGGUGAAAGAAAAAUAAGGAAAAACUACUUUUCUAUUA
rnacentral:lncRNA from 1 species